rnacentral:tRNA from 1 species
AAUUGUGUCACAGAUGGCUACUGUAAAAGAAUUGCAAAUUCUUUCAAUAGGGUUCAAUUCCCUCUCAAUUC